rnacentral:rRNA from 1 species
CCUAAUCAUUNCCUCUUAAAUAGAGGCUGGUAUGAAUGNCAAGACGGGAGUUUAACUGUCUCUUUCUUAGGGAAUUAGAAUUUAAUUUUUCUGUGAAGAAGCAGAAAUGUAAUCGUAGGACGAGAAGACCCUGUUGAGCUUUAAACUAAGAAAGUAAAUAUCGAAGACAAAAUUUUUCUAAUAAUAUUACAGAAAUACGAAAAUUAAAUAAGGAUGUUGUGGUAUUUUGCUUUUUUGUUUUGGUUGGGGCAAUCACGGAGAAAAUAUAACCUCCGGUAGGUAAAAAGUAAAAAGAGACUUCUUUUGCUUUAAGUUUUAAAUUUAUAGAAGUGACCCAUUUGGUAGAGUGAGUAAAGGAAUAAGUUCCCACAGGGAAUAACAGCGAA